rnacentral:rRNA from 1 species
GAUGAACGCUAGCGGCAGGCCUAACACAUGCAAGUCGAGGGGCAGCACAGAAACAGCAAUGUUUUGGUGGCGACCGGCGGACGGGUGCGUAACGCGUAUGCAACCUACCUUUAACAGGGGGAUAACGGAGAGAAAUUUCCACUAAUACCCCAUAACAUCGAUCAAGGCAUCUUGAUUGGUUGAAAACUCCGGUGGUUAAAGAUGGGCAUGCGUUGUAUUAGGUAGUUGGUGAGGUAAUGGCUCACCAAGCCUACGAUACAUAGGGGGACUGCGAGGUUAGCCCCCCACACUGGUACUAAGACACGGACCAGACUCCUACGGGAGGCAGCAGUGAGGAAUAUUGGUCAAUGGGGGCAACCCUGAACCAGCCAUGCCGCGUGCAGGAAGACGGCUCUAUGAGUUGUAAACUGCUUUUAAACAGGGAUAAAGCACAGUAUGUAUACUGUGUUGAAGGUACUGUAAGAAUAAGGAUCGGCUAACUCCGUGCCAGCCGCCGCGGUAA